rnacentral:rRNA from 1 species
UCAAGUAAUUAAGUGCAUGUGGUGGAUGCCUUGGCAGUCAGAGGCGAUGAAAGACGUGAUAGCCUGCGAAAAGCUCCGGGGAGGCGGCAAAUAUCCUUUGAUCCGGAGAUGUCUGAAUGGGGGAACCCACCUACUUUAAGGUAGGUAUUGCAACAUGAAUACAUAGUGUUGCAAGGCGAACGAGGGGAAGUGAAACAUCUCAGUACCCUUAGGAAAAGAAAUCAAUUGAGAUUCCCUCAGUAGCGGCGAGCGAACGGGGAUCAGCCCAUUAAGUUAUGUGUGUUUUAGUGGAACGCUCUGGGAAGUGCGAACGUAGAGGGUGAUAUUCCCGUACACGAAAGGGCACACAUAAUGAUGACGAGUAGGGCGAGGCACGUGAAACCUUGUCUGAAUAUGGGGGGACCAUCCUCCAAGGCUAAAUACUCCUGACUGACCGAUAGUGAACCAGUACCGUGAGGGAAAGGCGAAAAGAACCCCUGUGAGGGGAGUGAAAUAGAUCCUGAAACCGCAUGCAUACAAGCAGUGGGAGCACCUUCGUGGUGUGACUGCGUACCUUUUGUAUAAUGGGUCAGCGACUUAUAUUCAGUAGCGAGGUUAACCGUAUAGGGGAGCCGUAGAGAAAUCGAGUCUUAAUAGGGCGUUUAGUUGCUGGGUAUAGACCCGAAACCAGGCGAUCUAUCCAUGAGCAGGUUGAAGGUUGGGUAACACUAACUGGAGGACCGAACCCACUGUCGUUGAAAAGCCAGGGGAUGACUUGUGGAUAGGGGUGAAAGGCUAAUCAAGCCUGGUGAUAGCUGGUUCUCCCCGAAAGCUAUUUAGGUAGCGCCUCGGACGAAUACCAUAGGGGGUAGAGCACUGUUUCGGCUAGGGGGUCAUCCCGACUUACCAAACCGAUGCAAACUCCGAAUACCUAUGAGUACUAUCCGGGAGACAGACUGCGGGUGCUAACGUCCGUAGUCAAGAGGAAAACAAUCCAGACCGCCAGCUAAGGCCCCAAAAUCAUAGUUAAGUGGGAAACGAUGUGGGAAGGCAUAGACAGCUAGGAGGUUGGCUUAGAAGCAGCCACCCUUUAAAGAAAGCGUAAUAGCUCACUAGUCGAGUCGGCCUGCGCGGAAGAUGUAACGGGGCUAAAACUAUGUGCCGAAGCUGCGGAUGUAUACUUUGUAUACGUGGUAGGGGAGCGUUCUGUAAGCCGAUGAAGGUGUGUUGAGAAGCAUGCUGGAGGUAUCAGAAGUGCGAAUGCUGACGUGAGUAACGACAAAACGGGUGAAAAACCCGUUCGCCGAAAGACCAAGGGUUCCAGUCCAACGUUAAUCGGGGCUGGGUGAGUCGACCCCUAAGGCGAGGCCGAAAGGCGUAGUCGAUGGGAAAAUGGUUAAUAUUCCAUUACUUCUGUGUAAUGCGAUGAGAGGACGGAGAAGGCUAAAUCAGCCUGGCGUUGGUUGUCCAGGUGAAAGGAUGUAGGCAUGUAUCUUAGGCAAAUCCGGGGUACUCUAUGCUGAGAUCUGAUAGCAAGCUGUACUUGUACAGCGAAGUGGUUGAUGCCAUGCUUCCAGGAAAAGUCUCUAAGCUUCAGUUACACAGGAAUCGUACCCGAAACCGACACAGGUGGUCAGGUCGAGUAGACCAAGGCGCUUGAGAGAACUCUGCUGAAGGAACUAGGCAAAAUGGUACCGUAACUUCGGGAGAAGGUACGCUGUUGUUGGUGAUGGAACUCGCUUCCUGAGCUGACGACAGCCGCAGAAACCAGGCCGCUGCAACUGUUUAUUAAAAACAUAGCACUCUGCAAACACGAAAGUGGACGUAUAGGGUGUGAUGCCUGCCCGGUGCUGGAAGGUUAAUUGAUGGGGUUAGCGUAAGCGAAGCUCUUGAUCGAAGCCCCAGUAAACGGCGGCCGUAACUAUAACGGUCCUAAGGUAGCGAAAUUCCUUGUCGGGUAAGUUCCGACCUGCACGAAUGGCAUAAUGAUGGCGGCGCUGUCUCCAGCAGAGGCUCAGUGAAAUCGAAAUCGCUGUGAAGAUGCAGUGUACCCGCGGCUAGACGGAAAGACCCCGUGAACCUUUACUGCAGCUUGACACUGAACUUUGACCUUACUUGUGUAGGAUAGGUGGGAGGCUUUGAAGCUGGAACGCUAGUUCCAGUGGAGCCGUCCUUGAAAUACCACCCUGGUAAUGUUGAGGUUCUAACUCUGUCCCGUGAUCCGGGACGAGGACCGUGUCUGGUGGGUAGUUUGACUGGGGCGGUCUCCUCCUAAAGAGUAACGGAGGAGUACGAAGGUGCGCUCAGCGUGGUCGGAAAUCACGCGUAGAGUAUAAAGGCAAAAGCGCGCUUAACUGCGAGACCCACAAGUCGAGCAGGUACGAAAGUAGGUCUUAGUGAUCCGGUGGUUCUGUAUGGAAGGGCCAUCGCUCAACGGAUAAAAGGUACUCUGGGGAUAACAGGCUGAUACCGCCCAAGAGUUCAUAUCGACGGCGGUGUUUGGCACCUCGAUGUCGGCUCAUCUCAUCCUGGGGCUGAAGCAGGUCCCAAGGGUAUGGCUGUUCGCCAUUUAAAGAGGUACGCGAGCUGGGUUUAGAACGUCGUGAGACAGUUCGGUCCCUAUCUACCGUGGGCGCUGGAAAUUUGAGAGGAUCUGCUCCUAGUACGAGAGGACCAGAGUGGACGAACCUCUGGUGUACCGGUUGUGACGCCAGUCGCAUCGCCGGGUAGCUAUGUUCGGAAGGGAUAACCGCUGAAAGCAUCUAAGCGGGAAGCCUACCUCAAGAUAAGAUUUCCCUAGGACUUUAUGUCCUCUAAAGAGCCGUUCGAGACUAGGACGUUGAUAGGUUGGAUGUGGAAGCAUAGUGAUAUGUGAAGCUGACCAAUACUAAUUGCUCGUGAGACUUGACUAU